rnacentral:sRNA from 1 species
AUAAAGUCUGAAAGGGAAAAAAAUAAAUACGGAGCUAGAUUAAACCAUAGUCAUCAGUCAGGUGCUGAAACAAGGCAAUAGGAGAUUAGGGUUUAGAAAAUAAGGGGCUGUCUUCACAAAUUGUUCCCAGAAUUUUGAUUAGUGGGGUAUACAUGUUGAUGCAGCACAGGUUUUAAGUUUUGAUAAAUUCUGAAGAUUCUCGGGUAGUAGCAUAGUCCCCGAAUUAUCAAUAACAAUAAUAGUAGUUUAUAACCUUCAGAUAUACCAAGUUUAAUUUCCUUUAAAAACGGAGUGUAUAAUCAGCUGUCUUGAUGGAUUCAUUCUGGCGUGCAGUUCCCAUUGGCUCGGCGCGGAAUUGACUUGCACCAGCUCCAAAGUGAAAAAAAAAAAAAAAAAAAAAAAAAAUCGUCCACAGAAAAUCAACACCACCCAACGUCUCUAAUCACCCAUGCCAGAGCAAAUUUACCAGCCAUGGGAAAACGCAAAUUAGGAGCUUUGGAAAAGGUGGAUGCUGACCUGACAAAUCUCCAACAUAAAAUCCGACGAGACCCCAAGUCCUACAUCGAAGAUUUCCGCAAUCAGCAUUAUCAAUAUGAAAGCCACCGGGAGAUAUUCAUGGCCUCGCCAUCGUCAGUGACAGAUACGGGAAUAAUUUCUCUGCGUGAUCUUAUCGAAUUCAUCGCUCAUGUGGCCGACUGCUACAAGGAUAUCACCAAGAAUUUCGCUAAUGAAUUGAUUGAGAUUUUGUCACUGCACCAGGCGGUGCUGGAGCCGGAAUUGAGAGAGAAAAUUGUGGGUAGUCUGGUGUUGUUGAGGAAGAAGGAGAUCAUUGACUCUGCUACACUACUACACACCCUCUUCCCUGUCCUAGUCUCCACCCCGAGCAAGACCCUCCGAGCCUUCCUAUUCCAGAAAAUCCUCUCCGACCUGCGCACGUCGAAUUCGAAAACUAUAAAUCACAAACUCAACAGAACCAUCCAAACCGUCCUCUUCAACCUCGUAACCUCCGAUAAAACGUCCGUGAAAGCUCUUUGGGCCAUAAAAAUCACAAGGGAACUAUGGAAGCGGCAAAUAUGGAGCGAUGCAAAAUCAGUGGAGAUCAUGAAAGAAGCUGCAUUGGCGGAUAAUGAGAAAGUGGCUGUCGGCGGCGUGCGGUUCUUUCUUGGCGGUGACAAGGAGAGAGAGGAGCUGGAGGACGAGAGCAGCGAUGAUGAAACGCAUGACAUAUCCCAAAUACGCCAUCAGUUUGCGAUUAAUAAGAAGAGCAAGAAGAAGGCGCGCCAGGUAGAGAAGGCUAUCGCGUCAGUCAAGAAGAAGGAGAAGAAGAAAAACCAACCGCACCCGCUGAAUUUUUCUGCUUUUCAUCUUCUGCAUGACCCACAGGGCUUCGCGGAGACGUUGUUCUCGAAACACUUGCAAAAUACGAAGUCCAAGCUUAAUUUAGAGCAGAAAUUGCUCGUCUUACAGCUUGUCUCCCGGCUUGUGGGCCUACAUAAGCUUACAAUGAUUCAGUUAUACUCAUACUUUCUCAAGUACCUAACACCAAAGCAGCCAUCCGUCACUUCAUUUCUGGCAUCACUGGCCCAAUCAACGCAUCCACUCGUCCCGCCCGAUAUUCUCGAGCCGCUGGUUCAGAAAAUUGCAAACGAGUUCGUGUCUGAAGCCGCCGCUGCUGAGGUUGCAUCCGCUGGUUUGAAUGCUAUUAGAGAAAUAUGCGUCAGACAGCCACUUGCCAUGAAUGACACCUUGCUCCAGGAUUUGGUCAUGUAUCGGAAAAGUAAGGAUAAAGGUGUUAUGAUGGCUGCAAAGGGGUUGUUGAGCCUUUACCGGGAAGUCGGUGCAGAGCUACUGAAGAAAAGGGAUCGAGGAAAAAAUGCAACAAUCAAGCUAAGUACUGGGGAGCGGAAGGAUAUUCGUUUCGGAGAGGAAGAUACUGGCGAGAUUGAAGGAAUUGAGUUACUAGAGCAAUGGAAGGAAGAGGAGCGACGCAAGAGAAGGCGCGAGCAGGGUCUGCCCUCUGAUGGCGAGGAGGGAGAUGAAGAAAGCGAGGACGAAGAUUGGGCUGCUUGGUAUGUAGCUGAGGGAGAUGAAAGCGAUGACUCCGGCGGUUGGAUUGAUGUUCAUAGUGAUGAGGAGAUCAAUAUCGAAGUCAGCGACUCCGAAAACGAAGGCCCGGCAGCCAAAAAAGCAAAGUUUACCCAGUCGAAUGGAGAAUCACGGGCCACAACUGAAGAGCCACAAAAGGAGAAAGAAAAGAAACCUUCCACCCUUGCAACAACCCGUAUCCUGACGCCCGCAGAUCUUGCUAAACUUGCCGAGCUCCGCGCCCAACAAAACGUUUCAUCUCUUCUUCCACAAAACAAAACUCAGCGUCAAAAGCAAGCCGCCACAAUCGCCGCUAGACACAUGGAUGAUCCACUCACGGCUACCGAAAUCGAAGGACUUGCGGCACUCUCCGCUGGUAAAGCCACACGAGCAGAGAAAAUCGCCCGGAUGAAUGAGCUGAAGACCGAUCGCGCGGAACACAAGAGCAAGACUGCAAAGAAGAAGGAGAGGAAAGAGGCGCAGGGCAAGAGCACGACUAACAAGGAGAAGGCAAGGAAGAAGAAUUUCCUGAUGACGUUGGGCAAGGCCAAGAGAAAGGGAAAGAGGAGUCUGGUGGAAACGAGGAAUGUGCUGAAGGCGCACAUUGACAGGCAGAAGAAGGGAGGGAAGAGGGGGAAUUAUUCAUAAAGGAAUGGCUUGGGAAUUUCAAAAGCAAAUGAAGUAAAAAGGGGGAUAUUUUAGGAAGGAUAGGUUAUAUAAAGUAGUGGCGCGACGGUUUUGGGGC